rnacentral:sRNA from 1 species
UUUUUGCUAUCUGCGAUCUGGAUGAUUCGAACCUGCAGCAGGUUCGAGCCGAACGUAGUGAGGCACCGGAGCCGUUUACGGCGACGGCCCGAAGGGCGAGCGAAGCGAGUCAUCCUGCACGAUCCACCA